UAGGGAAUAUUGGACAAUGGGUGAGAGCCUGAUCCAGCCACGCCGCGUGCAGGAAGAAGGCGUUAUGCGUUGUAAACUGCUUUUGCCAGGGGAUAAAAAGACCGUGCGCGGUUAAUUGAAGGUACCUGGUGAAUAAGCCACGGCUAACUACGUGCCAGCAGCCGCGGUAAUACGUAGGUGGCAAGCGUUGUCCGGAUUUAUUGGGUUUAAAGGGUGCGUAGGUGGCCCUGUAAGUCAGUGGUGAAAUAUCUCAGCUUAACUGAGAGGGUGCCAUUGAUACUGCAGGGCUUGAGUACAGAUGAGGUAGGCGGAAUUGACGGUGUAGCGGUGAAAUGCAUAGAUAUCGUCAAGAACACCGAUAGCGAAGGCAGCUUACCAAGCUGUAACUGACACUGAGGCACGAAAGUGUGGGGAUCAAACAGGAUUAGAUACCCAUGUAGUCCCUGAGCGGGCUGGCAAGGCGCAU
rnacentral:rRNA from 1 species